rnacentral:tRNA from 1 species
GCGGCGGUGGUUCGGUGGUAGAAUUCUUGCCUUCCAUGCAGGAGACCCAGGUUUGACUCCUACCCAACGUA